rnacentral:rRNA from 1 species
GGCUCAGAUUGAACGCUGGCGGCAGGCUUAACACAUGCAAGUCGAGCGGAAACGAUGAUAGCUUGCUAUCAGGCGUCGAGCGGCGGACGGGUGAGUAAUACUUAGGAAUCUACCUAGUAGUGGGGGAUAGCACGGGGAAACUCGUAUUAAUACCGCAUACGUCCUACGGGAGAAAGGGGGCAACUUGUUGCUCUCGCUAUUAGAUGAGCCUAAGUCGGAUUAGCUAGAUGGUGGGGUAAAGGCCUACCAUGGCGACGAUCUGUAGCUGGUCUGAGAGGAUGAUCAGCCACACCGGGACUGAGACACGGCCCGGACUCCUACGGGAGGCAGCAGUGGGGAAUAUUGGACAAUGGGGGAAACCCUGAUCCAGCCAUGCCGCGUGUGUGAAGAAGGCCUUUUGGUUGUAAAGCACUUUAAGCAGUGAAGAAGACUCUUCGGUUAAUACCCGGAGACGAUGACAUAG